rnacentral:rRNA from 1 species
GACAGAGGCCCCAAGCGUUAGGCGGAAUCACUGGGCUUAAAGCGUGUGUAGGCGGACGCCUAAGUGUCUUGUGAAAUCCCACGGCUCACCCGUGGAACUGCUGGGCAUACUGGGCGUCUUGGGCCAACUAGGGGCAGCCGGAACAAGCGGUGGAGCGGUGAAAUGCGUUGAGAUCGUGAGGAACGCCCGUGGCGAAAGCGGGCCCCUGGACCUUUUCUGACGCUGAGACGCGAAAGCUAGGGGAGCGAACGGG